rnacentral:rRNA from 1 species
AGGGUUUGAUUCUGGCUCAGGACGAACGCUGGCGGUGCGCCUUAUGCAUGCAAGUUGAGCGAAGCUUUUCAGUAGUUUACUACAGAAAAUGACUGAGCGGCGAACGGGUGAGUAACGCGUGAGCAAUCUACCUUAGUUACUGGGAUAGCCCGAGGAAACUCGGAUUAAUACCGGAUAUUCUUAUUUUUUCACAUGAAGUUUUAAGGAAAGGUCAGCCGAACUAAGAUGAGCUCGCGUUCUAUCAGCUAGUUGGUGGGGUAAAAGCCUACCAAGGCUACGACGGAUAGCUGGUCUGAGAGGACGAUCAGCCACACUGGGACUGAGACACGGCCCAGACUCCUACGGGAGGCUGCAGCAGGGAAUAUUGCGCAAUGAGCGAAAGCUUGACGCAGCGACACCGCGUGUGGGAUGACGGUUCUAGGAUUGUAAACCACUUUCAGGAGGGAAGAAAAUGACGGUACCUCCACAAGAAGACCCGGCCAACUACGUGCCAGCCGCCGCGGUAAUAC